GAAGGUCUGAAAGCUGCUGGUUUUUCAUACUUUUACAUAUGUGAGUUCAAUUCUUGCCCUUUUCUUUGAGAUUUUUAUGUUUUUGUGACUUUUACAAUUAAGUCCAAGUGUUUAAUUCAUUAAUUUUUUAUUUUAUGGACAAAAUUAAAAGUUAUCAUUGACAAGUGUUGGCUGUUUAUGAUGAAUUAAAAUGAAUUUGAAGCUUUGAUUUUAUUGUUUGAUGAUUUUAUCAAGUAAUUUCAAUAGAAAUUGAUUUUAGGACCUAAUUAUGAGAAAGUUGUGAAUUAAGGUUUAGUGUUAAAAUUCUAAUUUUAAAAGGUUGUGUAAUAGUUUAGAAUGAUGGAAUAAAAUGUUAAUUGAGAAAAAUUAGCUUAUUAGAUGAGCUAAUUGAGCAAGGACUGAAUUGUAUGACCUGUGAAAUUUAGUGGAAAAAUGGUAAUAAACAUCUUGAACUAAAACAGUUUUGGACAGCAGCAGUAGGAUAAUUUUGCAAAAUCACCAUAAAUUGUAAAAAUCGAAUUAGAGGAUGAAUAAUAUAUGAAAUUAAAGCUUAUUGAGUCUAGUUUCUCAUAGAAGAAACGGUGUAAGCAAUUGAAUUAUAAAUUAUGUGCUAUAAUGAGUUUUGUGAGACAAGGUCAGAAUGAAUUCGGAUUCCCCUGUUUUAAAUUUAGAAAAUCACCAAAAAUUGGAGAAAAUUAAUUAGAGGCUCAAAUUUAUAUGAUUAGAAUCUUUAAUGAGUCUAUUUUCAAUAUAAAUCAACGAGAACAUUAUCCGAGUUCUGUACUGUGAUAUAAUUAAUUUUUAGUGAAGAGAGAUCAGAACUGUUGGAUAGUGAAACAGGGGAAACUUAAAUGAAUAAACUGUACUAAUUGGCUAAACCAAAAAUUAUAAAAUUUUUAUGGUAAGAAGACAUAUGAGUCUAGUUUCUGGGAAAAUUUAUGGAUCUUAAUUUGGAAUUCUGUAGCUCAAGAUAAAAAUAAUUUAGUAACUAUAACACAGAUGGACAGCGUGAAUAUUCACAUAAGUAGAUAGUGAAAAUUAUGGAUAAUGUUACCUAUAAGUGUGUUGUUUAUACUAAGGAUGUGGAUGGAGAGGAGGAGGAGGAAAAUAUACAUUUAUAUAUGAAUGACUUGUGUAUAAAUUGAUCACGUGCCCGAUUAUAAUCGAUAAAUGUUGAAUUAGAAAAGAUAUAAUAUUUUAUUUGGAAUAUUUAAUAUGAAAUUAUGAUUAUCGUUAUAAUACAAAAAUCGUACUAGUGAGUUUGUAUAACUAAAUUUUAGUGACCGUUUGUUAAUUUUAUGAAUUUCAUGAUGUGUUAUUUCAUAUGAAUUGAUGAUAAAAUCGUGAAUAAUGUAAGAGCGUGAAAAUUGAAUAAACGAUCAAAUUGAGUAUUUUCAGUGACAAGAUGAAUUGAUGGAAAAGACAAUGGUUGAUCCAUGGCAAAGUGCGAAAUGUAGGUAUGGUAUUAUCCAUACCGAGUUGUGAAAUGUAGGUAUGGUAUCAUCCAUACCGAGUUGAGAAAUAUAGGUAUGGUAUUAUCCAUACUGAGUUGAGAAAUGUAGGUAUGGCAUUUCCUAU
rnacentral:lncRNA from 1 species